GCACCGGUGGUUUAAUGGCUACACUUUGAGUUUUUCUUAAGGUGCCAUAAAGAAUCCCGGCCUUCCAAGCCGGUUAUCCGGGUUCGAAUCCCGGCCGGUGCA
rnacentral:tRNA from 1 species